rnacentral:piRNA from 1 species
UUUCAUCCGCUGAAAAAAUCU